AUGAACGCUGGCGGCGUGCCUAAUACAUGCCAGUCGAGCGAACAGAUGAGGAGCUUGCUCCUCUGACGUUAGCGGCGGACGGGUGAGUAACACGUGGAUAACCUACCUAUAAGACUGGGAUAACUUCGGGAAACCGGAGCUAAUACCGGAUAAUAUAUUGAACCGCAUGGUUCAAUAGUGAAAGACGGUUUUGCUGUCACUUAUAGAUGGAUCCGCGCCGCAUUAGCUAGUUGGUAAGGUAACGGCUUACCAAGGCAACGAUGCGUAGCCGACCUGAGAGGGUGAUCGGCCACACUGGAACUGAGACACGGUCCAGACUCCUACGGGAGGCAGCAGUAGGGAAUCUUCCGCAAUGGGCGAAAGCCUGACGGAGCAACGCCGCGUGAGUGAUGAAGGUCUUCGGAUCGUAAAACUCUGUUAUUAGGGAAGAACAAAUGUGUAAGUAACUAUGCACGUCUUGACGGUACCUAAUCAGAAGGCCACGGCUAACUACGUG
rnacentral:rRNA from 1 species